rnacentral:rRNA from 1 species
GGGACUUGCUCCCUGAUGUUACGGCGGACGGGUGAGUAACACGUGGGUAACCUGCCUGUAAGACUGGGAUAACUCCGGGAAACCGGGGCUAAUACCGGAUGCUUGUUUGAACCGCAUGGUUCAAACAUAAAAGGUGGCUUCGGCUACCACUUACAGAUGGACCCGCGGCGCAUUAGCUAGUUGGUGAGGUAACGGCUCACCAAGGCAACGAUGCGUAGCCGACCUGAGAGGGUGAUCGGCCACACUGGGACUGAGACACGGCCCAGACUCCUACGGGAGGCAGCAGUAGGGAAUCUUCCGCAAUGGACGAAAGUCUGACGGAGCAACGCCGCGUGAGUGAUGAAGGUUUUCGGAUCGUAAAGCUCUGUUGUUAGGGAAGAACAAGUACCGUUCGAAUAGGGCGGUACCUUGACGGUACCUAACCAGAAAGCCACGGCUAACUACGUGCCAGCAGCCGCGAAU